ACGUAGGGGGCAAGCGUUGUCCGGAAUUAUUGGGCGUAAAGCGCGUGUAGGCGGUUCGAUAAGUCGGUUGUGAAAGUCCAGGGCUCAACCCUGGGAUGCCGACCGAUACUGUCGGACUAGAGUCCGGAAGAGGUGAGUGGAAUUCCCGGUGUAGCGGUGAAAUGCGCAGAUAUCAGGAGGAACACCUAUGGCGAAGGCAGCUCGCUGGGACGUGACUGACGCUGAGACGCGAAAGCGUGGGGAGCAAACAGGA
rnacentral:rRNA from 1 species